rnacentral:misc_RNA from 1 species
GCAAACUUGGUCAUUUAGAGGAAGUAAAAGUCGUAACAAGGUUUCCGUAGGUGAACCUGCGGAAGGAUCAUCACUGAUUCAGGGGGGGAGAGCGUGUGUGCGUGCGCGUGCGUUCACGCGCGCCGCGCCGCGCCACCCCAACCAAUCUUUUGUGCACGGUUUCACGGUCAACGAGAGACGCCGCGCGUGUGUUGGCAAGUCACACACCCCAUCGGGGACUUGCCAACCGCAUGCGUCUGUGCGCGCGCUCUCUGCUUGCAAUCUCUUGUGCAAUCUCUGUCUAACACACGUUACCUAAAAUAUAUCAACACAACUUUCAACAAUGGAUCUCUUGGCUCCGGCAUCGAUGAAGAACGCAGC